AGUGAACGCUGGCGGCAGGCCUAACACAUGCAAGUCGAGCGGCAGCGCGUCCGACCACCCUCGGGUGGUCGGAUGGCGGCGAGCGGCGGACGGGUGAGGAAUGCAUCGGAAUCUGCCUCGUUGUGGGGGAUAACGUAGGGAAACUUACGCUAAUACCGCAUACGACCUACGGGUGAAAGUGGGGGACCUUCGGGCCUCACGCGAUGAGAUGAGCCGAUGCCGGAUUAGCUAGUUGGCGGGGUAAAGGCCCACCAAGGCGACGAUCCGUAGCUGGUCUGAGAGGAUGAUCAGCCACACUGGAACUGAGACACGGCCCAGACUCCUACGGGAGGCAGCAGUGGGGAAUAUUGGACAAUGGGGGCAACCCUGAUCCAGCGAUGCCGCGUGGGUGAAGAAGGCCU
rnacentral:rRNA from 1 species